rnacentral:rRNA from 1 species
UUGCUCUGGUGGAUGAGUGGCGAACGGGUGAGUAACACGUGAGUAACCUGCCCCUGACUCUGGGAUAAGCGCUGGAAACGGCGUCUAAUACUGGAUAUGAGCAACGGUCGCAUGGCCUGUUGUUGGAAAGAUUUAUCGGUUGGGGAUGGACUCGCGGCCUAUCAGCUUGUUGGUGAGGUAAUGGCUCACCAAGGCGACGACGGGUAGCCGGCCUGAGAGGGUGACCGGCCACACUGGGACUGAGACACGGCCCAGACUCCUACGGGAGGCAGCAGUGGGGAAUAUUGCACAAUGGGCGCAAGCCUGAUGCAGCAACGCCGCGUGAGGGAUGACGGCCUUCGGGUUGUAAACCUCUUUUAGUAGGGAAGAAGCGAAAGUGACGGUACCUGCAGAAAAAGCACCGGCUAACUACGUGCCAGCAGCCGCGGUAAUACGUAGGGUGCAAGCGUUGUCCGGAAUUAUUGGGCGUAAAGAGCUCGUAGGCGGCUUGUCGCGUCUGCUGUGAAAUCCCGGAGCUCAACUCCGGGCCUGCAGUGGGUACGGGCAGGCUAGAGUGCGGUAGGGGAGAUUGGAAUUCCUGGUGUAGCGGUGGAAUGCGCAGAUAUCAGGAGGAACACCGAUGGCGAAGGCAGAUCUCUGGGCCGUAACUGACGCUGAGGAGCGAAAGCAUGGGGAGCGAACAGGAUUAGAUACCCUGGUAGUCCAUGCCGUAAACGUUGGGAACUAGAUGUAGGGCCUGUUCCACGGGUUCUGUGUCGUAGCUAACGCAUUAAGUUCCCCGCCUGGGGAGUACGGCCGCAAGGCUAAAACUCAAAGGAAUUGACGGGGGCCCGCACAAGCGGCGGAGCAUGCGGAUUAAUUCGAUGCAACGCGAAGAACCUUACCAAGGCUUGACAUAUUCGAGAACGCUCUAGAAAUAGAGAACUCUUUGGACACUCGUUUACAGGUGGUGCAUGGUUGUCGUCAGCUCGUGUCGUGAGAUGUUCGGUUAAGUCCGGCAACGAGCGCAACCCUCGUCCUAUGUUGCCAGCACGUUAUGGUGGGAACUCAUGGGAUACUGCCGUGGUCAACACGGAGGAAGGUGGGGAUGACGUCAAAUCAUCAUGCCCCUUAUGUCUUGGGCUUCACGCAUGCUACAAUGGCCGGUACAAUGGGCUGCGAUACCGCGAGGUGGAGCGAAUCCCAAAAAGCCGGUCUCAGUUCGGAUUGGGGUCUGCAACUCGACCCCAUGAAGUCGGAGUCGCUAGUAAUCGCAGAUCAGCAACGCUGCGGUGAAUACGUUCCCGGGCCUUGUACACACCGCCCGUCAAGUCAUGAAA